rnacentral:rRNA from 1 species
CGGAACGAUGGUAGCUUGCUACCAGGCGUCGAGCGGCGGACGGGUGAGUAACGCGUGAGAAUCUGCCCAUUUGUGGGGGAUAACUCGGGGAAACUCGAGCUAAUACCGCAAAUCCCUACGGGGGAAAGCAGGGGACCUUCGGGCCUUGUGCAGAUGGAUGAGCUCGCGUCGGAUUAGCUUGUUGGUGAGGUAAAGGCUCACCAAGGCGACGAUCCGUAGCUGGUCUGAGAGGAUGAUCAGCCACACCGGGACUGAGACACGGCCCGGACUCCUACGGGAGGCAGCAGUGGGGAAUCUUGGACAAUGGGGGCAACCCUGAUCCAGCCCUGCCGCGUGUGUGAAGAAGGCCUUCGGGUUGUAAAGCACUUUCAGUAGGGAGGAAGGCUUACCGCUUAUAACGGUGAGUACUUGACGUUACCUACAGAAGAAGCACCGGCUAAUUUCGUGCCAGCAGCCGCGGUAAUACGAAAGGUGCGAGCGUUAAUCGGAAUUACUGGGCGUAAAGCGCGCGUAGGCGGUUUGUUAAGUCAGAUGUGAAAGCCCCGGGCUCAACCUGGGAAUUGCAUUUGAAACUGGCAGGCUAGAGUGCAGUAAAGGGAGGUGGAAUUUCCGGUGUAGCGGUGAAAUGCGUAAAGAUCGGAAGGAACACCAUUGGCGAAAGCGGCCUCCUGGACUGACACUGACCCUUAAGUGCGAAAGCGUGGGGAGCAAACAGGAUUAGAUACCCUGGUAGUCCCCGCCCUAAACGAUUUCUACCAGUCCUUGGGAAUCUUAAUAUUCUUGGUGACGAAUUUUACCCGAUAAGUAAACCGCCCGGGGAAUACGGCCCCCAGGGUUAAAACUCCAAUGAAUUUGACGGGGGCCCCCACA